rnacentral:rRNA from 1 species
AGGAAUGCUACCUGGUUGAUCCUGCCAGU